CCCUGACCCUGCUCGAAGGCCUGGCCCCAGGGCUUUCUCUUGGAUCUUCCGUUCUACUACCUGCGCAAUAAUGCUGUCCAGGAUGUUGUCUUUUACUUCAAUAGCACCUCGACUUCACUGUGGUCUCAUCCCUGCCUUCCUAAAGGAAGUUACAGAGCCUCUAAGAAUAGUGGCUCCAAAUGGGAGUCUUGGACUGGGAGACAGCUCAGCAGGUGUUGUGGCUUACAUCUGUGGUCCUUGCACUCCGGAGGCCAAAGCAGACAGAAUGCACCCCAGGAAAGCACUCUGGCACGAAACGACAUCCCAACUCUUGCUUUUUAUGAGACAAUCUCCUAUGUUGACUAGGCUGGUCUCGAGCUCCCAUUUCUCCUGCCACUACCCCUCAAGACUUGUGCCAUCAUACCCAGCUCAUGAAACACUCUUAACGGGGUCAGCAAGAUGGUUUGGCAGACAAGAGCAGCUGCAGGCCUGAGAACUUGAGUUCAAUCCCUGGAACCCUCACACUGGGAAAGGAAAUAACCAACCCUCACAAUUUGUCAUGUGACCUCCACAUGUGGGCCUUGGCAUGUGCUAUGCUCCUCCCCCCAUAAAAUACACAAUUAAUAAAUAAAUGUUAAAAAUUUAAAUACCCACAA